rnacentral:lncRNA from 1 species
UAAUUUUCUCGACACAAACGUGAGAUGGAACUGGAGGCGAGGCGGGAGCAGGAGCGUGAAAUAAUUGAAGCCGCCUAAAACCUAGGGAGCUGUAAUCAACAUUUACGUUGGUUGAUUAUAAAUCGACGCCUAGAAAACUAACGAUGUAGAAUAUUGAAGUGUCGAAUGUCUAAAUCGACCGAAUCCCAAUUUCUAAAUCUGAUUUCUUCUACUCUUCUAUUUCUAAUUCCCAUUUGGCGAUUCAUGUGGGUUGAAGACGUACUAAGAUUGUCAAUCGUCUAUUUCUGGAACCCAAUUCUGAUUUCACCUAUUCUCCUCUGUUUUUAUCGCUAGUCUGAUUCGGUAUUUUGGUGAUUCCCGAUUUGUAUGAGUUGGAGUUUGAACUGUUAAGAUAAGGAGGUAUUUCGGUAAUUUUCUGUUCAAAAUAUGCAUCUUUCAUUUCAUAUUUAUUUGUUUUUGUUACAUUAGUUUCAUGAGUUUGCUUCGUCUCUGUUUGUUGGGUUUUUUUUUGGUAGUUUGCUUAAGAGGAGUUCGAAUAUGUACUGAAUUGUUUAAUUCAAAAUCAGGAAUUCACAGUUUUGGUUUCUCAGCUAAGUAGUUACAUAUGAUGAUUUAAUGAUAUUCGUUUGAUAUUUGGAUUUAUUAAUUUGUUGAAAAAAUAUGUAUUAUUGUUUGUUUUGCAGAUAUUAUCGAUUCUUUCGGCAUAAAAUGUUUUUUAAUUGUGGAUCUCAUUCUAAUAUGUUAUACUCUAGUUUUGUCUAGGAAGUGGGAAUUGCAAUUGGAAGCACUCAAGGUUAAUCCAGGAUCCCUAAUCACCAACCGAAAAUAGAUUUGUACUUGGAAAUUGGAGAUUUGCACUUGGCAGACGAUUUUUUUUGUUAUUUGCUUCAACGUUUCUUUUGCUUAUGAAAUUUGCUAAUACUUAUUAUGUUUUAGUUUUUGUAUUUUUUAAUGAGACUAGACUGUUUAGUAUCUAAUACAAUCAUUUUUAAUAUUGUGUAUACUUUUUUUUCCCUACAAAUGUCUUUUGGUGUAUCCUAUUUGGUGUCGAUGGUUUUUUGCAAAUAAUUUUUAGCUAAUAUUAUGUGUCUUGCGUACUCUAUAGUUGUUAGGAUUAUAUAAUGUUUUGGUUAUUAGAGUUUUUAAAUGGUG